CUACGGGAGGCACCAGUGGGGAAUAUCGCACAAUGGGGGAAACCCUGAUGCAGCAACGCCGCGUGGAGGAUGACACAUUUCGGUGCGUAAACUCCUUUUAUAGGUCAAGAUAAUGACGGUAGCCUAUGAAUAAGCGCCGGCUAACUCCGUGCCAGCAGCCGCGGUAAUACGGAGGGCGCAAGCGUUACUCGGAAUCACUGGGCGUAAAGAGCAUGUAGGCGGGUUAAUAAGUCAGAAGUGAAAUCCAAUAGCUCAACUAUUGAACUGCUUUCGAAACUGUUAACCUAGAGUGUGGGAGAGGUAGAUGGAAUUUCUGGUGUAGGGGUAAAAUCCGUAGAGAUCAGAAGGAAUACCGAUUGCGAAGGCGAUCUACUGGAACAUUACUGACGCUGAGAUGCGAAAGCGUGGGGAGCAAACAGGAUUAGAUACCCGCGUAGUC
rnacentral:rRNA from 1 species